AUUUCUACUUUAACAAUGGUUCUGACCUUUGAGUACAAUUUGGUAAGUGCUUUUUGUUGGGGUAGUUUUA
rnacentral:pre_miRNA from 1 species